UAUAAUACACCCAAUGCUUAUUGAUUGUUAUGUUCAAAUUCUCAAAUUUUAUUUUUAUUGAAUUAGUUAGGUGGUGACAGUGACAUUCAAACCACACAAUUUUAAUCAAGGAUUUAUGUUAUAUAAAUAUGGCUUAUUUGAAGUGAAAAGUGAAUUUACAUAAUUAAGAAUACCUUGAAUGAAACAUAAAUUUAAUUUCUGUCAUGUAUUAUACAUUUUUUUUCUUAAAUUCUUGCAACAAUUACUUUACGGAGACAAGCAUAAGAACUGCUGCUGCUACAUCAUUUAAAUGGGUGAUGACGGAUGAACAACGGCAGUGACGUACGGACGGGAGCCCCACUAUAAGAAAACCCGCAGCUCGGGCAAUCCUCGUACACCAACUAACGAGAAUUUACAUUUUACCGAGACCGAGAGUCGGAUUAAGUGGAACGAGAAACGAGAAGAGAAAGGAACGAACGGAACAAACCAGCGCCGCCGGUCGCAACAAGAACACAAGAACCGAAUAUUGGAUAAUGAAGUUAAUGUGCAAAAUCUAUAUGGAUGUACAGUGAGGGACAAAGUAUUGGCACACUAUUACUUUUAGAAGCAAUUCAUUAAUAAUUACAAUAAUUUUUUAACAAA